AUGGUGGGCUCGGAUCCGGAGCCUGACAUCGCCGAGCUCUUCUGCCACUACAACGCCCUCUACUUCCAGGACUCCCUCGGCGCGUGCGCCGUCUCCUGGGCGGAGGAGCCACUCCCCUACGGUGAUACAAGUGGCUGUGAAUAUUAUCCUGGCGGCGGUGGCUGUAUUGUACUUCUUUCGAAGUCCUUAUAUGAGUUUCACACAUACUCCGAUCUGAAGAAUGCUUUGCUCCAUGAGAUGAUUCAUGCCUAUGUGUGCAUCAAAGAUAAUAACACUGACCAUAGUAACCAUGGUGCAAACUUUCAGAAGUUAAUGAAUACAAUCAAUUCCAGCUCUGUACCAGAUCGUCAUCGUCCUCUUGGUGGCUACAACAUAAUUAAGCUUCAUGAUAUCAGAAAGAAAUGUUAUCAAUAUGAAUGUGAUGGCUGUGGAGAUUUUGUUAGAUCAACCAAGAUCAGAGGACCUUCACAUGAUGACUGCAUUGAGAGAAUGGGUGCUAAUUCCUCCUGCCCAAAUUCAGCUUGUCAAUGGCAUAGGCACAAGAAGCGAUGCUCCGGUAGCUAUUAUAGAGUUGGAAAAUCAGCACCAGGCUGUGCAGAACUAGGGGGUUCAGUAGCUUCAGCUGAAGAAACACUUGAUGAACACAAGGCUGCCAAAUCAGCCAGUGGAAGUUGGCAUGCCAAACAUACAUCAAAUAAGUCGGGGACAAGCAAUAAGCAUGAACUGGAAGAUGCACCAGCUGAGUUCCGUCAUCCUACUGAUGAUGCAAUCGACAAAUCAGGACUGGGCUCCUCUUCAGGGGACAGGUGUAAUAAGAAAAUUAAAUUAUCCAAGGACGUUCGCUUUGGCAACCUGACCGGCGCAACUGUUCAGCAAGCACCAAAGCGACCAAGAACAGUUACAGCAAAAAGGAACCAAGAGUGCAGCAGACAAAAGAAAAGGAAAACCAGCAAGUGGGAUGGAUCCUAUUCAAUAAUAGUCGAACAGUUGAAUUAUUACUGUUUCGAUGAUUCAGAUGAAGAUGAGGUGCCCUUGAUCAAUAAAAGAACCGAAAUGAGAAAACGACAAAGGUUACUGAAAAAUUCUCAGGCAACAGAAUUAAACGAUGGUAGAAAGGAUGUGUGUUUUGAUUCUUGUUCUCAAGGCUCAGGGGACAAGAACAUAUCUGAAAGUGCGCCUGCUUCUCAAGUCGAAGAAUGGUCGUUGCCAGAUCAUCUUGUGCAUAAUCGUGUAGCUGCUCCAGGUCAAACAGACCAUGAAACUGUGGACUCCGCAAUUGGUGAAAUUGUGGACAUUUCAGAUGGGUGA
rnacentral:rRNA from 1 species